rnacentral:ncRNA from 1 species
UGAUAGGUAAUGAUGGGAAGAGUAAGUUGAUGGACUUAGUAACAGAGAGCCGGGGCGGGUGAAAGCCGGUGCUAAGAAAGUUUGCUGAAGAUGGCCCCUGAACUUCAUGAUCGAACUUUUGUAAAAUAAGACUUAGAUCAUGACGGAAGUGCAACCGUUAUAUUGCAGGGUGAUGAAGGUCACUUGCUGAGAUUAUUGCUGCGAAGUAAUAAUAAACUAGGGUGGUAUCACGAGAAAAAGCUCGUCCCUAUA